rnacentral:rRNA from 1 species
CUCCCCAGGCGGAGUACUUAAUGCGUUAGCUGCGGCACCGAGGGGGGUAACCCCCGACACCUAGUACUCAUCGUUUACGGCGUGGACUACCAGGGUAUCUAAUCCUGUUUGCUCCCCACGCUUUCGUGCCUCAGUGUCAGUUACAGUCCAGAAAGCCGCCUUCGCUACUGGUGUUCCUCCUAAUAUCUACGCAUUUCACCGCUACACUAGGAAUUCCACUUUCCUCUCCUGCACUCAAGUCUCCCAGUUUCAAGAGCUUACUACGGUUAAGCCGUAGCCUUUCACUCCUGACUUAAGAGACCACCUACGCACCCUUUACGCCCAGUAAAUCCGGAUAACGCUAGCCCCCUACGUAUUACCGCGGCUGCUGGCACGUAGUUAGCCGGGGCUUCCUCCUCAAGUACCGUCAUUAUCUUCCUUGAGGACAGAGUUUUACGACCCGAAGGCCUUCAUCACUCACGCGGCGUUGCUGCAUCAGGCUUUCGCCCAUUGUGCAAUAUUCCCCACUGCUGCCUCCCGUAGGAGUUUGGACCGUGUCUCAGUUCCAAUGUGGCCGAUCACCCUCUCAGGUCGGCUACUGAUCGUCGCCUUGGUAAGCCGUUACCUUACCAACUAGCUAAUCAGACGCGGGUCCAUCCUAUACCGCCUCAGCUUUGAUAAGAAAUCCAUGCGAAUCUCUUAUAUUAUCUCGUAUUAGCAUACCUUUCGGUAUGUUAUCCGUGUGUAUAGGGCAGGUUACCCACGCGUUACUCACCCGUCCGCCGCUCUUUACCGAAGUAAAUCGCUCGACUUGCAUGUGUUAGGCACGCCGCCAGCGUUCAUCCUGAGCCAUGAUCAAACUCUA